rnacentral:rRNA from 1 species
UCCUCCCUCUUUCUUCGUGCUUAACACAUGCAAGUCGAACGGUAAGGCCCUUUCGGGGGUACACGAGUGGCGAACGGGUGAGUAACACGUGGGUGAUCUGCCCUGCACUUUGGGAUAAGCCUGGGAAACUGGGUCUAAUACCGGAUAGGACUACGCGAUGCAUGUCGUGUGGUGGAAAGCUUUUGCGGUGUGGGAUGGGCCCGCGGCCUAUCAGCUUGUUGGUGGGGUGAUGGCCUACCAAGGCGACGACGGGUAGCCGGCCUGAGAGGGUGUCCGGCCACACUGGGACUGAGAUACGGCCCAGACUCCUACGGGAGGCAGCAGUGGGGAAUAUUGCACAAUGGGCGCAAGCCUGAUGCAGCGACGCCGCGUGGGGGAUGACGGCCUUCGGGUUGUAAACCCCUUUCAGCACAGACGAAGCGUAAGUGACGGUAUGUGCAGAAGAAGCACCGGCCAACUACGUG